rnacentral:lncRNA from 1 species
UAGAAAGAUAGAGUUUUUAGCUAUAGAUUGAAUUAUAAUUUUUUGGUGGUCAUACAGCCCAAUUUUCCAAAUUGCAUUGUAUGACCACAAAAAAUUAUAAUUCAAUCCAUAUAUAAAAGCCCUAUCUUUUUACUGUUUCCCAUGUAUUUUAUAUAAUAUUUCCAAAUUACUCUUUAUUAUAAACGGCAAAGCCUGUAAGAAGAAAAUAAAUAAGUUAAUAACUAUUAUGUUUCAAAAAUAAUUUGUGUCUGUCGGAGAGUCACACAUCCUCUCAUAAUAAUUUAUUUUUCUUCUUCUUUAUUUCUUCCUCUCCCUCUAAGAUCUCUGUUUUUUCUUUUGAUAUGACGAACACAUCGCUAGGACCAUCUUCUCUCCACCACCGUCUCCAUCCAUGUCUCUGAACUUCCUCUCACUGUCUCAUCUUCUCCUCCAUUUUCCGUUGUUGUUUCUUCUCCUCCUUCAUGAACUUGAUCACCAGCUCUUCUAUUAAUCAUAUCAUUUCAUUCGCCUCUUCAUUCUUCUCUUUCAUUACUCCAU